CCUACGGGUGGCAGCAGUGGGGAAUAUUGCACAAUGGGGGAAACCCUGAUGCAGCGACGCCGCGUGAGUGAAGAAGUAUCUCGGUACGUAAAGCUCUAUCAGCAGGGAAGAAAAUGACGGUACCUGCCUAAUAAUCCCCGGCUAACUACGGGCCAGCAGCCGCGGUACUACGGAGGGGGCAAGCGUUAUCCGGAUUUACUGGGUGUAAAGGGAGCGUAGACGGCAGCGCAGGUCUGGAGUGAAAUGCCGGGGCCCAACCCCGGAACUGCUUGUGAAACUGGGGAGCUCGAGUGCAGGAGAGGUAAGCGGAAUUCCUAGUGUAGCGGUGAAAUGCGUAGAUAUUAGGAGGAACACCAGUGGCGAAGGCGGCUUACUGGACUGUAACUGACGUUGAGGCUCGAAAGCGUGGGGAGCAAACAGGAUUAGAUACCCUUGUAGUC
rnacentral:rRNA from 1 species